UAACUUACCCAGCCAGGAGAUACCAUGAUCACCAAGGUGGGUUUCCCAGGGUGAAGCUUCCCCAUGGCAUUCCAGAUGUACUGACCCAUGCAUUUUUGACAAGCGUGGGUAACUCCACUGGAGAAUUUGUGGUUGUGGGGGACUGUGUUCAUGUCCUUCCA
ensembl:snRNA U1 U1 spliceosomal RNA